rnacentral:lncRNA from 1 species
UAAGAAGUAGCCACUGGAUCAAAGCAAAACAAAAUAAUAUGCAACAAAGGCAAAGGGUUCAGAAAUAGGACUGUCUUUUUAUGGUGAUUUUCUUGUAAACAAACAGCCAAGUAAGCACAUGGAAGACGAUUCAGCCAUCACACACACCCCAUGCAACAAACAAGUAACAAAAUAACUACUAACUCAGUAUCCAGCAAAGGGUCACAACAAUUUAACAAGGAUACAUGGGGGAAUUCAGCAAACGUACACUGGUAGCAAAGUAAAUUUCAGACUCAACAGUGCAUAUAUCCAGAGAACUGAAACAAGAGAAGAGAGAGGUUCAGAGCCUAUUGGGUCGUGAUGAUCUUCAAUUCGAGGUUGUAUAUGUUGCAGUCGAAGAAGAGGAAUAGCAGGGACGAAGAUAGACAGCGGAGGACCCGGCCUUGGGGAGGAACCGUGGUGGCCUUAGCGGAAGGUCAGCCAGCCACCCGGAGCAGAGCACCACCAGGAGCUCGAAGCCCCGCUGUUGAUGUCGAGGAUAUGUCGCAGUGGUGGUCGUCGGAGUUGGAGAAGAUCAGCAGAGGUCGUCAGUCAGGGAGGUCACAGCAGCAAACGUUGGAGAGGAGCAGUAGGGACAUUUCUUGAGGUUGGUGACAAGGAAGUGCAGCAGGUCAGCGUUGGAGAUGAGCACGCCGUCAGGGAGGAGAGGCCUCGCGGUGGAGUACCGGCAAAACCGGCGCCCCGCUGUCUGGUCGAGGAUCUAGGCGGUCCCCUUGUCUUCUCUCGUGGAUUCGAUCUGGUUCUCGUCCUCACUUUCCUUCCUUCGAUCUGGUUUUCUUCUCAUUCCCCUCGAUCCCCUUUCUUCCCUUGUUCGAUCUGGUGGUAGGUGAGCAGCGUGGAGAGUGAGAGCAAUCGCCCCCUGGUUUUUUUCUUCGACCCCCCACUCCUCUGCUUGGUGGUUCAGUCGCGCGUGGGAUCAGACACCAUGUCUGGUGUGUCGCGCCAGACUCCAGCUCCUCUCACGCGUGCCACCAAACGCCUCCUCUGGUUCUUUUUCGGUUUGCCCCCUCCAGAACUGAACUCUUCUCCAAGUUGAUCCCCGCUUUAGUGUUGAAAGCACUUUCGUCGAAAUUUGGGUGCCUAAACGCACCAGUCCUACAAAAAAUGAAUAAGGUUGUAAAAAUGUCAUAAUAGGAAUAUUUCUGUAGGAAUGAAUACUUUAUGAGUGAUUAUUGUGAUCAUAUGUUUAAUUUUUGACGCAAAAGGGCUAAAAAUACUAUAUGCAUAAAUGUGCUAUCAAUUUCCCCCACACUCAAAUCUUUGCUUGUCCUCAAGUAAAGAAAAAAAUGAUGGUGACACAACUCACACUGCCUAGUAAAUAUGCACUUUUGGAUAGAUAGUAGUUCCGACAAUACUAUAACUAAGCAACUGUACUCUACUGAAGCUAAAUUAUGAUGAGCAAUAAUUUAUAACACACUGUAAAUGUUUCAAGUCGAUGGCCUUGAGUGAAAGAGAAUCCUAUUAAUCAAGAGCUAGCUGUGUCUUCAGCCCUAAGAUAAGCUGGGACCCCAAAAUCAAUUAGAAAAACAAGUUACUUAUUGAAUUUAAAGCACAAGUGAUGAUAUUAUAUCGGUCUCACCAAAGAAACAUACCACCGAUCCCGAGAACAUGGUAUACACCUGGCUCGACCAAUUAUUAGUAUAUAUUUUUUGUUAUUGUCUCCCCAAAGGAACAUACCACCGAUCCCGAGAACAUGGUAUACACCUAGUUCGAAAAAUUAUUAGUAUAUUUUAUACAAAUUUUUUACAGUCCAAUCUACCAGAUUUCACAAGCCACUGAUCCAGGGAACAUGACAUGCUACUGUAGGUCGAUCGGACUUAAAUUAUUAUAAUUAUUUUAUUUAUUUAUUUGAAAAUUACUUAGCUUAAGUAAAACGGGAGUAACUGAAAGAGAAAUCCACAGCUAAUGGCAAUGUUUUUCACAGACUACAGAUCCAGAGAUCAUAGCUACUACUUAAGUGCCACCAGUUACUUAGCUUAACUUGGGACAGUCAGACACAUCACAUCAAUUCAUCAGUAGGUUUCACUUAGACUCAAGGCAUUCCCAUUGAACAUUUACAUGGAGGUAUAAAGUAUUCAUUAUCACAAUUUACCAUAAGAAGAAUACAGCUGCAUAGUUUUGGUAUUAAGAGAAUCAACAACCUUCUUGGGGUGAAUCCUACUUUGCAGUGAAGAGUAAGGUGUCACAAUGCAAAAAGAGUUUCAAUGCAAUUAAAUGCCAGUUCUCGUACUGAAUUUUCUAAAGGUUGCUUCAAGUGGAACAGAAUCACCUAGUAUUUGUAUACUCUUCUCUCCUAGUUUCUUCUCUCCACUCUUCUCUGUUUGUGUUCCCUGUUUGUGCUCCCCUUGCCUUUAUUUGUUGAAAAAAGACAUAAACACAUAAAAAGUUUUCUAUGAAAACUAAAUAAAGAAAAGAACUUAUUAAAGAUUCAGGUUGCCUCGUGAAAAGUGCUUGUUUUAGGUCUUUAGCUCGACCGUGUCUCUUCAGUGGGGUCAGGUCCUGCAGGGAUUGACACCACCUCCUGGGUCCCCUCGCCUUCUUGAAUUUCCUCCUCUGGGUCUUGAUCUUCGCUUGCAUUCUCAUCUUCAGAAAUCAGAAUUGGGUCUCCAGGGAUGUAGGGCUUCAGUCUUUGACCAUUUACAAGGAAGAGACCUCUAGAAGUACUUUGCACUUGGAUAGCACCACUUUUCAUAAUCUUCUUCACCUUGCAAGGGCCAUACCAUCUUGACUUGAAUUUACCAGGAAAUAAAUGAAACUAGUAUCGUAGACCAAUACCAACUGUCCAAGAUGAAAUUCUUUCCUCAAUAUAUGAUUGUCAUGCCAGAUCUUGGUCUUUUCUUUGUAGAUUCUUGCACUCUCGUAAGAGUCAGCUCUCAGUUCUUCCAUUUCACAGAGUUGAAGUUAUCUGUAUUUUCCUACUGCAUCAAGGUCCAUAUUGAGUUUCAUUAGUGCCCAUUGAGCUUUGUUUUCAAGUUCAACGGGUACAUGGCAUGUUUUCCACAUAUUAACCUGAAUGGUGACAUUCCAAUUGGUGUUUUAUAGGCUGUCAUAUAUGCCCACGGUGUGUCUGGUAAUUUUAGUACCCAGUCAGACCUUGACUUUGAUACUACCUUCUCGAGGAUAGCCUUUAUUUCUCUAUUAGAUAACUCCACUUGUCCAUUUGCUUGUGGGUGAUAAGGAGUUGUAAUUCUGUGAUUAUGAACUCCAUAUUUUGCUAAGAGAGAUUCUAGUUGGGAGUUGUUGAAAUGUGUUCCUCCAUCACUGAUAACAAUCCGUGGCACACCAAAUCUUGGAAAGAUCACUUGCUUGAAUAAAUUGCAAACUGACUUGGAAUCAGCAUUGACGGUUGGUACAGCCUCAACCCAUUUUGACACAUAGUCCACUGCCACCAAUAUGUAUUUGUACCCUUUUGAUGAUGGCAAGGGUCCAACAUAAUCAAUUCCCCAUACAUCAAAGAGCUCUACUUCAAGAAUUCCUUUUUGAGGCAUCUCUUGCCCUUUUGAAAUCUUUCCAGUUCUCUGACAAGGAUCCCAAGCUUCAAUAUAGGAAUGUACAUCCUUGAAUAAAGUUGGCCAGUAAAAUCCCGCUUGCAAAAUUUUCGCUUGAGUUUCCUAGUACUUGCAUGACCUCCAUAAGGGGAUGAAUGGCAAUGAUAGAUCACACUUUUUGUUUCACCUUCCGGCAAGCAUCUUCGAACAAUACCAUCAGCACAAUGUUUGAAUAAGUAAGGUUCAUCCCAAAAGAAGUGCUUCAUAUCUGAUAAGAAUUUCUUCUUCUUUUGAUACCAAAAAUCUGUAGGAACUUUGUUACAGACUAGAUAAUUAACUAUAUCUACGUACCAUGAUGUAUAGUUUUGUAUACUAGUCACUUCCAUAAGAUUGCUCCCUGGUAAAACAUCAUUUAUAGGUAAGGAGUCUACUGCAUUGUUUUGCAAUCUCGACAAGUGAUCUGCCACAACAUUGUUAGAUCCUUUCUUGUCCUUGAUUUCCACAUCAAAUUCUUGAAGCAAGAGUAUCCAUCUAAUUAACCUUGGCUUGUCUUCUUUCUUGAUGAGUAGAUAUCUGAUUGCAGCGUGGUCUAUGUAAACUACACAAUGAGACCCCACAAGAUAUUGCAUGAAUUUGUCAAAGGCAUACACUACUGCCAACAACCCCUUUUCGGUGGUUGUGUAAUUAGCUUUAGCACCAUCAAGUGUUUUGCUAGCAUAGUACAUUACAUGCAAAUCUUUUCCUUUUCUUUGUCCAAGUACUGCACCUACAGCAAAGUCACUUGCAUCACACAUUAUCUCAAAUGGUAAUUCCCAGUCAGGGGGUUGCACUACUGGAGCAGUGACCAAUGCUUCCUUCAGCAAGUUGAAGGAUUUUUCACAUUCUGCAUCAAAGUUGAACUUAACAUCAUUGGUUAGGAGAUUAGUGAGGGGUUUGGCUAUCUUGGAGAAAUCCUUUAUGAAUCUUCUAUAGAACCCAACAUGUCCCAAAAAGCUCCUCACUCCCUUCACAUUUACAGGCGGUGGAAGUUUUGAUAUUACUUCAACUUUUGCUUGAUCAACCUUAAUUCCUCUUUCAGAUACCAAAUGUCCCAAAAUAAUUCCUUCCUUUACAAGAAACUGACACUUCUCCCAGUUUAGGACUAGAUUGUGUUCUGAACACCUCUGAAGAAUUGCUGCCAGAUUAUUCAAGCAAUCCUCGUAACCUUUUCCAACGAAUGUAAUAUCAUCUAUGAACACCUCCACUUUGAUUCCUAUCAUAUAAGAUAAUAUAGAGAGCAUAAACCUUUGAAAUGUUGGGGGUGCAUUACAAAGUCCAUAGGCUAGUCUUUUGUAAGCAAAUGUUCCGUACGGGCAAGUGAAAGUUGUUUUAUCUUGAUCAUCCGGGUGAAUUGGGAUUUGCAAGAAUCCUGAAUACCCAUCUAAGCAGCAGAAAUAUUCAUGACCAGCAAGCCUUUCAAGAAUUUGGUCAAUAAAAGGUAAAGGAAAAUGGUCCUUCCUCGUUACUUCAUUUAACUUUCUGAAAUCAUUGACCAUUCUCCACCCUGUGACAAUCCUACUAGGAAUCGUUUUCCCUUGUUCGUUUUCAAUGACAGUUAUUCCUCCUUUUUUGGGCACCAUGUGAAUGGGGCUCACCCACUCACUGUCCAAAAUUGGGUAUAUGAUAUCAGCAGAGAGCAAUUUAAGAAUCUCCUUUUUAACAACCUCUUGCAAAUGGGGAUUUAACCUUCUUUGACUUUCUCUAAUUGGUACACUACUUUCUUUCAAGUAAAUCCUUAUGAGAGAACACAACAAGAUUUAUCCCUUUCAUAUCAUCAAUUGAAUAGCCAAUAACAUCCUUGUACUUUUGCAAAACUGCUUGAAGCCCUUUUAUUUGCAUUUCCGUCAACUCACCGUUUAAGGUAAUUGGCCAUUGGUUUUCAUUGUCUAAGAAUACACACUUCAAACUUUCUGGAAGUUGUUUCAUUUCUAUUUGCCUUGGUUGCAUCUUCUCUAAUGGCCUUGCACUGCUUUCCAACAUGCUCACAGGUCUGAUUUCCUCAUACUCCCUCCGUCCAAAAAUACUUGUCAUCAAAAUGAAUAAAAGAGGAUGUAUCUAGAUAUAUUUUAGUUCUAGAUACAUUCCUUUUUGUCCAUUUUGAUGACAAGUAUUUUCGGACGGAGGGAGUAUUUGAUUUCACUAUUAUCCUCCUCAACUACUUCACAACAAUUACUUCCAUACCUCUCUUCAUAACCUUCUUCCACACAUUUCUAUAGUGUAUCAAUUCUAUAGCAGUGUUCUUCUCUUUGCGGAACAUGUGUUGCAUGCUUCAUGUCAAAAUCCACCUUUUCAUUCCCAAACCUCAGGCUCAAUUUAGCUUCUUGGACAUCAAUAAGUGCACCAACUAUGGCUAAAAUGGUCUUCCAAGAAUCAUAGCCUCACUCUUGUCCUCCAUAUCUAGCACUACAAAGUCAACCGGAUAAGCAAACUUCCCAACUUUGAUUGGAACAUCCUCAAGAAUUCCAACAGGUUUCCUAUAUGUUCUGUCGGCUAAUUGAAGAGUUGUGGCUGUUGGAUUUAAUUCUCCCAAGAACAUCCUUUUGCUAACUGAAUGUGGUAACAUAGAGCACUGUAAGUUUUGUUUCCAACCACACAUGGUACACAAAAGCUUCCUGGAUCAUCCCAUUUUUCACGCAUGGAAUUCUGAAUUAUUGCACUUCAUUCCUUUGAUAGAGUCACUACUUCUGGCUCAGACAUGCUUCUUUUCUUUGUUAGUAAUUCCUUGAAAUAUUUGGCAUACAUUGGAACAUGCAAGACAGCUUCAAGAAUAGGAAUGGUAAUCUGAACUCCUUUCAUAGUUUCCAAAAAUUUGGCAAAUUGCCUGUCAUCUUUGGGUUUGUUGAACCUCUCAGGAAAGGGAAUGUUGUUGGUUGUUAUUGCUUCCUCUAGCAAAGGCUUAGCUCUUGUUUGAAAACCAGGAAAUUCGACUUUAGUUUCAAUUCGGUUAUCAACUUCUUUCUCCUUUAGUUUCUCUGAUGAUGUUGAAGGUGGAGUUCCGGAUGAACUUGGUCUCAUAGCAGGAGGCACAUAUGACUUUGGAAUAGGAAGUAAUGGUCCUGACAUAACUCCACUCCUUGUAGUCACUGCAUCAAUUGAAGAUAUUGCCCCACAGUGAGCUUUUGGGUUUGGAAUUGGUUGAGCAGGCAGCCUUGCUUCAUUUUCUCCCACAAUACUAUCCAUUUUGCUCAUAAGCAUCUUAACAGAAUCUUUUAAGCCAUUAAUUUCAUUUGUCAUCUUGUUCAUCAAUUCCAACUGCAUCUUCAUGAUUUCCUCCAUUCCAUUUGACUGAACAUUUUGUUGUUCAUUCUGCCUUGGCACUUGAAAUUGAGUUGGAUGAUUUGGUGGUCGAUUUCCUUGUACUGUCGAUCCACUUGCAUAUGACUGAUUGUUCUUGUACGACAAGUUUGGAUGGUUCCUCAAAGAAGGAUUGUAGCUGUUCAGAAUGGACCUUGACUUUGGGCAGAACUUACUUCUGAAACCGAAGAUCUGAUUGCUGAGUAGAAGGUACAUUCUGUUGAAGGAUGACCUACUUGGCCACAUAUAUCACACAUUUGAGGCACGCUUACUGAAGCUCCAGAUGUACGAUACAAUUUGACAUGAUACUGUCCAUCUUGUUCAAUAUGUCAAUCUGAGCCGCCAUGCUAUCAUUUGCAGACACAUUGUACACACCAGGAUGCGGUGGUGCUAUUUCUCUUUCACUCGACCAUUGGAAAUGCUGAGACGCCAUACUUUCAAUCAAUGCAAAUGCUUCAUCAAGAGUUUUGUUCAUGAUUCCUCCUCCAGCGGCAGAAUCAAUAAAAGCUCUGGUCUGAGUAGUCAGUCCUCUGUAAAAAGGUUUGUAACACCAUCCAUCUUUCCAAACCAUGAUGAGGACAAAUUCUUAUUAAAGAGUUGAAUCUUUGCCAUGCAUCGUACAAACUUUCUCCAUCAUAUUGAGUGAACCUUGUUAACUUGUCCAUGUAUUCAACAGCUUUUGUUGGUGGAAAGUAUCUCUCAAGAAAUGUUUGCAAUAAAGUCUCCCAAGUAUUCUUCAGAUGUUCAGGCAAUGAGUGAAGCCAUACUCUUGCUCCAUCUCUCAAGGGAAAUGGAAAUAGUGACAAUCUGAUAGCACUCGGUGAAACUCCAUUUUUCUUGAGGGUGUUACAAUACUCCAAGAAAGUCCUUAUAUGCUCAUGUGGGUCUUCUAAAGCUGUUCCACCAAAUCUGGACUGUUGUACCAUGUUAAUCAGGGCUGGCUUCAAUUCAAAAAAAAUUACUGAAUAAUUGGUUGCACCAUUUCUCCUGGUAUCCCAUGAUCUCUUGGGACCCACAAGUCCCUGAGCAAAGGCAAUGGAUCAGGCAUCUUUUCUCCUUCUUGAUCUUGCAAAUUUCAGCAACUUGAAACUGUGUUUGAUUCUCUCUUCUUCUUCUCAAUAAAGUCCUUUCAAUUUCUUGAUCAAAUGGCUCUAGUGAACUUUCUUCAGAUUGUAACAUAAGAUAAUUUCCUGUAAAGUUCCUGAAAUUGACACAUGCUAGUUUUUCUCAAAACUGCAGCCAAUGUUAGAAAAUGGUUAGUUGCCAGCAAUACUACAGAAUCGAUCUAAAAUAAAUCUUGAUCUGCUUCUACUAAUGUGCUAAUGAAAUUUAGAUCCCCGGCAAUGGCGCCAAAAUGAUCAAAGGUAGAUAUAGUGAUUUAGAAUGUCGGUUCUCCACAGGGAUCUAGAACUUCGAAGCACGCAUUCGAAACAUCCAGGGCAGCAGAAUAUUUGGUUUUAAUAGAACUAGAAACAACUUAUCAGACUAAUCAAAAAUCAAGGUAACAAAUAGUCACUGGAUCAAAGCAAAACAAAUAAUAUGCAGCAAAGGCAAAGGGUUCAGAAAUAGGACUGUCUUUUUAUGGUGAUUUUCUUGUAAACAAACAGCCAAGUAAGCACAUGGAAGACGAUUCAGCCAUCACACACACCCCAUGCAACAGACAAGUGACAAAAUAACUACUAACUCAGUAUCCAGCAAAGGGUCACAACAAUUCAGCAAGGAUACAUGGGGAAUUUAGCAAAGGUACACAGGUAGCAAAGUAAAUUUCAGACCCAACAG